rnacentral:rRNA from 1 species
UACGGAGGGUGCAAGCGUUAUCCGGAUUCACUGGGUUUAAAGGGAGCGUAGGUGGGUUGGUAAGUCAGUGGUGAAAUCCCCGAGCUUAACUUGGGAACUGCCAUUGAUACUAUCAGUCUUGAAUACUGUGGAGGUUAGCGGAAUAUGUCAUGUAGCGGUGAAAUGCUUAGAUAUGACAUAGAACACCAAUUGCGAAGGCAGCUGGCUACACAAUUAUUGACACUGAGACACGAAGGCCAGGGGAGCAAACGGG